CUGCUGUAAACAAUAAGGAUCCCAAAGAAUUAUUGCCCAUUGUAUCCAUCACCUGUGUGCUCUCCUGAUGUCACUGAGUUCUACUUCUUUUUCUUCUAAACGCUGCUUUAAUUGCUCUUUUCUUUCAUUUUGCCUUUCUAGCUUUUCCAUAAGCUCUUCAAAUUCAGUAGCUUUUUCAUCCAACUGUACUUGAAAAAGCUUAUUUUCUUCAUGCUGUUUUCUGAUUUGUUUAUCUUUUUCUUGUAAGCCUUCUUUUAAUCUCCUAAUUGUUUCUGUCUGAUCAUCCACUAUUUUGUUUUUAAUUCGUAUAGCAUCACCGUCCUGUUCCCUCUGCUUCUUU
rnacentral:lncRNA from 1 species